GGGGAUUUAGCUCACUGGUAGAGCGCUUGCCUAGCAAGCACAAGGCCCUGGGUUCGGUCCCCAGCUCCG
rfam:Rattus norvegicus chromosome 1, whole genome shotgun sequence.